AAACAAUUGUCAAAAGUAGUUAGAGAUUUUUUUUAAUAUUUUUUUAAAAUUCCUUCAUUAGCAUAUGUAUAUCAACUUCAUAUUCUUGAAAAUGUUCAUGGGGCUUAUUCCAAAAAAAUAUCAAUUGGACUAAGGG